rnacentral:tRNA from 1 species
GGGAAGGUGGCUCAGUGGUAGAGCGCUUGCCUUGCAUGCACAAGGCCCUGGGUUCGAUUCCUCACCACCACA